AAAAAAAACAAAAACUGGUUUCCGUAUCCAACGUUUGACCGUCCGUCUUAUUUAAAAAAAUUAUGAAAAAAAGAUAAGUCACGCAUAAAGUAUUAAUCAUGUUUUAUCAUCUAACAACAAUGAAAAUACUAAUUAUAGUUUUUUUUAAUAAGACGGACAGUUAAACAUUGGCACGGAAACUCAUGGUUUCUCUUUUU
rnacentral:pre_miRNA from 1 species